GGCCCGUGGGGAGUCGAGGCGUCCCGGCAAGGGAGCCCCGCCCUCACCCCAGGCAUAAUGUCCGGGCCUGGCACCCUGGGCAGCGGGCCUUCGGGUGUAAAGACAGACCUACUGACCAAGUGCCCCCGCCCCACCCAGGGCCCCCGUUUGUAUUUGCGCGAGAAGGAAUGUAAGUUACCACCUAGGAGGAGACUGUGGAAAGGGAAGAGAGAGGCAGAACACCUGAAGAAGCCAACGUUUAAGAGGUAAAAACAGAAGGAGGUGCUCAUGAAGGAAACGGAGAAUGAGGAGCCAGAGGUCAAAAGGGAAACUGCUGAGGUUCGGAAGGCUGGAAGUCCAAGAUCAGAGGGCAGCACAGUCAGGAUCUGGUGAAGCCCCUCUUGCUGGUUGCAGACUGCUGACUUCUCGCUUGCCUUUUUUCAGAGUCUCCACCAUUAGCCUUUUCGAGGGAGCCGUCCAUAUCCUGCCAGGACCCUGACCAGUUCAACACUAUAAUUUAGGCAUAGCUGGUGUGGCCGUACAGCAGCACAGUGUGACCCUUUCAUCCCCAGAGUUGCAAGAUGGAUAAGUCCGCCUCCAGGUAUCCAGGCUAGAUUUCAGACUGGAAGAAAUGCAAAAGGCACCAGACGGCUAUUUGCCAGGAACACAAUAGCCUGUUAAGAAGUCACAGACAGCAGGAUGUCUGAGGAGUUUUGCUUUCUGAGGUUCUGUGACCCUGAGUCAACAUAGUCGGGAAGUGGACAUCCCCCUUCUGAUGACGGAUGGUCGGAAGACGAUGUGGCCGAACACUACGUCAUAAUGCCGGCACCACUCACGUGGCUUCAUUCACUUCAUCUCAUCCCAUGGUCAUUUGGUCAUCUCACAUCAUCACAAGAAGAAGGCUGAGCACAGUACAAUGAGGUCUUUUGAGAGAGAGACACCACAUUCACAUAGCUUUUGUUUCCAAAAAAAAAAAAAUUUUGUUUUAUAAGUGUUGUAUUUUAUCAUUAUUGUUGCCUCAUGUAUAAAUUAUAAUUUAUUAUCGGUAUAUAUGUGUAGCAAGAAAAAUAUAUAGAGGGUUUUGGAACUAGCCAGGGUUUCAGGCACCCACUGGGGGUCUGGGAACAGACUCCCCGCCGAUAAGGCGGGGGUGACUGUGAUAACUUCCAUGUAUUGAGCUCUUACUGAAUGCUUUACAUGCGUAAUAUCUUCUAACCCUCACCGGGAGGCUUCCCACUCUCUAGCUGCAGAAACCACAGGUGAGUGGUUUUGAGUGAUGUGCUCAGUAUAAUGUCUGAGCUAACAGUUGGGUAUGUCUGUCUGUCUCCAGAGCCCUUGCUGGGAGCCACCAUACUUCUCACAGUGUCCCUUAAAACCUGUGUCCCUUUCUCUUCUCAUUUCUUCCCCAGGGAAGAACCUGUGUACAUGACAUGGAAAUCUAGGUCAUAGGUGAUAAGCCUUUCCCAACCUCAGAACAUGACCCACUAGAAAUAAAGGAGACAGAAUCCCAAGUUGGAGACAGUAGGUAAAUGCGCAGAGAGAUUUGGGUCCAUAUGGAAGUCAGUAUGAAUAGCAAGCAGACUCUAUGAAAACGAAAUAACUAUUAUUUCAGUUGUGAGUCCCCCUCUGGGAUAAUUUGGCUGUCAUACUCUCUGAACCUACUUAGUCACCAGCUCUCACGCAUUCAGGCAUUCUGCUGAGCAGAUGAGAGAUGCAAAGGGGGAGAAAACCCGGUCUUCAGAAGAAGCUAGAAUAGGCAGGAGUCAGCUUGGAGGGCUUCCCACUGCAGUGCUUUGGGACACGUCUGACUGACUGUCCCGCUGCCCCUGAUAGCACAUGCUUCUGGAGGGACAGGAAAUAUUGCUAUCUUUGCUCAUGUGAGGGCCAUGAGGACAGGCGCUGGAGUGCUCAGUGUGUAGUACUCAGCGUCACCGCUGAACCUUCUCACUUCCUGCAGGCGAUCUGUGGAUCAAAUGGACUUGCCACAACCAAAGAUAAAUACAGGAUCACUAUGUCUGUUAGCGAACACACUGGGUCAAGUUGCACUUUCAAACAGAGUCCACAUCCUGGGAGUAAAGAGAAAAGUGGAAUAGCAGAAUGUUCAGCCUGCUCCAAAGAAAAAUGGCACACUUGCUGAAUCGUCCGAGGGAUUCGGGAUAGAAAUAUGUAAGAGAACACCACCAGAGCAGCGGAUAACUCCAUACAAACAGGGCCCAGAUGCUGGACGCCCCCAGCUGAAGAAUGCCGAAGCCCUGGGCGUAGUUUCACCCAUAGAGUUGUACCUAGAGAUCCUCGUAUGGGAAGCAUGCCUCAAGUAAGGAACAGGCGUGAAGUGCUGAUGGCAAUUCCAGUCCUGGCUUCCUCAAGUUGGUGACUCUAGGACUCUUAGGACUCUAACAUUCUUUUUUUUUUUUUUUAAAGAUUAUAUUUAUUUAUUUGACAGACAGAUCACAAGUAGGCAG